CCCUUAGAUGUUCUGGGCCGCACACGCGCUACACUGAAGGAGGCAGCGUGUACUCCUGGAUCGAAAGAUUUGGGUAACCCGCGAAUCUCCUUCGUGCUAGGGAUUGAGGUUUGCAAUUAUCCUUCAUGAACGAGGAAUUCCCAGUAAGUGCAAGUCAUAAGCUUGCGCUGACUACGUCCCUGCCCGUUGUACACACCGCCCGUCGCUACUACCGAUUGAAUGAUUUAGUGAGGACUUCGGACUGGGACCGAUGCGGCUUUCGGGCUGCGUCGGUAUUCUGGAAAGAUGUCCAAACUGUAUCAUUUAGAGGAAGUAAAAGUCGUAACA
rnacentral:rRNA from 1 species